ACAUGUCUUUUUGAGGAGAAUUUAAAGUCGGGCCUGCCCACUGAUAAAUUGAAGGGCCGCGGUAUUUUGACCGUGCAAAGGUAGCAUAAUCAUUAGUCUUUUAAUUGAAGGCUAGAAUGAAUGGUUUGACGAAGUAUGGACUGUCUCUAUAUAAAAUAGUAGAAUUUAACUUUUAAGUCAAAAGGCUUAAAUAAGAAUAAAGGACGAGAAGACCCUAUAGAGUUUUAUAUAAGUGGUUAAUAAUAUUUAUUUGGUAGUAGUAAAUUUUAUUAAUUGUUUAUAUUAUGUUGGGGUGACAUAAAGAUAUACGAAACUCUUUAUAUUUAAAGACAUAGAUUUAUGGGUAGUUGAUCCAUUAAUAGUGAUUAUAAGAUAAAAUUACCUUAGGGAUAACAGCGUAAUUUUUCUUGAGAGUUCUUAUCGAAAGAAAAGUUUGCGACCUCGAUGUUGGAUUAAGAAAAUGGUUUGGUGUAGCAGCUGAAUUAAUAAGUCUGUUCGACUUUUAAAAUCUUAC
rnacentral:rRNA from 1 species